rnacentral:misc_RNA from 1 species
GAGAAAAUUGAAGAAGGGUUGUGGAUUGAGUAGGCGAUUGGGAAUGGUGGGGCUGCGAGUUUUGGAAUUGAGAGACAUGGCAGCAAAAAGGGAAGAACAGAGAAGAGAGAGAGCAUUCAGAAGGGAGAAAAACGAGGCUGAAAGAGAAGAAAAGAUGAAGAACACAGAGUUCAAGAAGGAGAAAGUAAUGAAUGAAAAAGAAGAGCAAUUGGAUAAGAGAGAGGUGGAGAUUGAAGAAAGAGAGCUGCAAUGGAGGCAAAGGGAAUUUGAGAACAGGAUGAGAAUGGAGAAGGAAUUUGAGGAGGAGAGAAGAAAGAGGAUGAGAAUGGAAGAGAAAAUGGAGGAAGAAGAGAUGGAAUGGAGAGAAAGAAUAGUGGAAAUGCAAAUUGAACAUGAGAAACAGAUGAUGCAAAUGCAAGCAGAAGCAUUUCAGAAUCAAAUGCAGAUUUUAGGGGUAAUUGCAAGGCUUCUUUGCCAAUAUUUUGGGUCUGCAAAUGAUGGUUUAGGCGGUGGAUUAGGGGCUUUGCCGCCUCAAGUUCUUCAGAAUUUACAACAUCCCGGUGAAUUG